rnacentral:rRNA from 1 species
CUUGCUUUCUUUGCUGGCGACCGGCGCACGGGUGAGUAACACGUAUCCAACCUGCCCUUUACUCGGGGAUAGCCUUUCGAAAGAAAGAUUAAUACCCGAUAGUAUAAUGAUUCCGCAUGGUUUCAUUAUUAAAGGAUUCCGGUAAAGGAUGGGGAUGCGUUCCAUUAGGUUGUUGGUGAGGUAACGGCUCACCAAGCCUUCGAUGGAUAGGGGUUCUGAGAGGAAGGUCCCCCACAUUGGAACUGGGACACGGUCCAA